UUUUAGUGAAAUCCCUGCACAGAUCCGGUGUGAUGCAACUGUGUCCAUGAAAUACCCCCAAUCAAUUCGUGUCAAUUAUGUUGCUGUUGGCGAGGUAAUCGCGGUAUGAGAAUUCACGUGGAAAAAGAGAGAGAACUAAUUAUUGGAGUGCCAAAAAGGUUAGAAGGGAUGACGUUGCUUAAAUAAAAAAAAAAAAAUGGGUCAACUCUAUUGCCAAAGCACAGACGGAAUCAUAAAUCACCCGAAGCGAAAGAGAGAUGGAAGAGAAAAUCGGCAAAUAUGCAACGUGCUGCCCGUCAGAUCCACAACCGCAUCAAAAUGCUUGAUAUUGUCCCAUUUUUGGUUGUCUGUGGUAAUCAAAUGACGGGCGGAGGGACAAUGAUCUGCAGGGGGGAAAAAAAAGAUGGACGAACUUGGCGGGCCCAGUUUGACCAAAACUAGAAUUUUUCAAUUCCAAAAUGUGAAAACUGGCAGUUGCACGACUCAGGUCAAACCAGAAU